UUUUUUUUCAAGUGUCUUGCGUUGUAACUCGCUGCUUUCUUAAAGAGGAGAAAAGUAAGCCGUUACAGUUUAUGCAUAGCCUAUACACAGCCAGGGACAUUGUCAGUAAGCAGGAGCCUCCACUUUAUGCCUGUCUAACAGCAGUUCAGCGAUCGUUAUUCAGUGGCUUUCAAUUUAAAUGUUAUACAUCACUUGAUUAAAACAUGAGGAUCCGUGUUACCUGCACCAUGUUUAGCAGGUCAUAUGUUCAUUUAGGUACAUUUUCCUUAGAAAACAGGGAUUGAAAAUAGCUUGUCUGUCUUCCCAGGAUCCUGUUCAUAUCUCUCUUAUUCCUGUGCAUCGGGGGUUUGGAUACCAGCAGGAUAAGGCACAGUUAAAUUGCCCUAUUUACUCUAUUCUAAUGAGCCUUUGGCUGUAAGUUCCAUGGUCAGAUAUGAUGAAUGCGACAACUUUGAUUGUUUGCUCAGUUUUCUUUUUCUUUUUUUUUUUUUCUGCUAAGAGAGAGAGUAAGGUCUAUUGGGGUCACUGUAAAAUGAAACCAUUAUACAAUGUUUUCUGUUCCAAGUUAGCGCUUCGUGAUCCAGGCCAUGCCCAUUGCACUUGUCAGUCACUCAAUGUAACAUAAGUAGCACAAACACCCACAAUGACAUGUACAGACUGUUUAUGCACACUUGGGUAGAAUAAAAGA